rnacentral:rRNA from 1 species
AGUGAACGCUGGCGGUAGGCCUAACACAUGCAAGUCGAACGGCAGCACAGUAAGAGCUUGCUCUUACGGGUGGCGAGUGGCGGACGGGUGAGGAAUACAUCGGAAUCUACUUUUUCGUGGGGGAUAACGUAGGGAAACUUGCGCUAAUACCGCAUACGACCUACGGGUGAAAGCAGGGGAUCUUCGGACCUUGCGCGAUUGAAUGAGCCGAUGUCGGAUUAGCUAGUUGGCGGGGUAAAGGCCCACCAAGGCGACGAUCCGUAGCCGGUCUGAGAGGAUGAUCAGCCACACUGGAACUGAGACACGGUCCAGACUCCUACGGGAGGCAGCAGUGGGGAAUAUUGGACAAUGGGCGCAAGCCUGAUCCAGCCAUACCGCGUGGGUGAAGAAGGCCUUCGGGUUGUAAAGCCCUUUUGUUGGGAAAGAAAAGCAGCAGGUUAAUACCCCGCUGUUCUGACGGUACCCAAAGAAUAAGCACCGGCUAACUUCGUG